CUACGGGACGCAGCAGUGAGGAAUAUUGCACAAUGGGGGGAACCCUGAUGCAGCAACGCCGCGUGGAGGAUGACGCAUUUCGGUGUGUAAACUCCUUUUAUAUGUCAAGAAAAUGACGGUAGCAUAUGAAUAAGCACCGGCUAACUCCGUGCCAGCAGCCGCGGUAAUACGGAGGGUGCAAGCGUUACUCGGAAUCACUGGGCGUAAAGGGCGCGUAGGCGGGUUGGAAAGUCAGGUGUGAAAUCCUACAGCUUAACUGUAGAACUGCACUUGAAACUUCUAAUCUAGAGUAUGGGAGGGGGAGAUAGAAUUAGUGGUGUAGGGGUAAAAUCCGUAGAUAUCACUAGGAAUACCUAAAGCGAAGGCGAUCUCCUGGAACAUUACUGACGCUAAGGCGUGAAAGCGUGGGGAGCAAACAGGAUUAGAUACCCCUGUAGUC
rnacentral:rRNA from 1 species